GCUGCCUCCAAUUUCUACUCAUGCAGUUUUCCUUCGCCGAAUUCAUGUUUCUUUAUGUCAAUAGCAUUAAGCCAGACUUUGUUUUUUGGGGGGGGCGUUUUAAAUAGCACUAUUAUCUGUGCUACUUCUCGUAGUUUCUUAUGGUUUAAAAAAAUAUUCUGACAGUUAAAACGGCUCUGAUUAUUAAAAUUUCUCCAGUUGUUGAAAUCUCUGUAAUCGUAAUAGUUCCACGUCAGUGGGAAAGGUCCUGAGUCUCACAGUUUGGCCGGCUGUGUGCGUUCGGCCGUCAUUUGCUGGUCUGACCACAUCUAGACCUGGCUGCCGGGCAGCUGUGGUCUUGAUGGGAACGCUCGUUCCCCUCACUGUGCCCAUGAAGUGGGACAGCUCCAUAGAUGCCGUCAGUACCUCGAUGAUGUUGCUUUCCUGGUCGGGUUGCCAAAUUUAGCAAAUAAAAAUGCACCCAGUUGAAGCUGAAUUUCAGAUAAACAACGAAUAACUUUUUAUAAGCACGUCUAUCCCGUGCAAUAUUUGGGACAUACUUAUAGUUAAAAAUGAUUCGUUAUUUAUCUGAAAUUCAAAUUUAACUGGGUGUCUUGUGAUUCAGGGUGAUUCUAUUUCUUGGAUUCCUGCCAGGAAGGCUACUCUAAGCGUAGGAGUGCCUAGUGUCAUUAAUAAAGACAGAAUCAACUACUCUUGCACCCUGGAAAGUAGGAUUGUGAGGCCAGUUAGGGGGAGAGGAAGUAAGAAAGGCUGAGGCAAGCGCUGACACAGACUGAACUUUGUUAUUCCUGAAGAUUUGGGUUGCCUCAGAAGAGAUCACAGAGGGUUACAAAUAAUUUUUACAGCUCAUACCCAUUCAUUUGAAAGCUGCCACAAUCCCACCCAUUACCCAAACAGAAAACUUAUCAAAGCCAGAGCGAUGAGUGAGGACACCAGAGAUGAUAAAGAAGGAUUUUCACUAUGGAAGCGUUAUUAAAGGAGAAACAGCUUCAUCCUGAGGCUAUCAAGCUUCAUACUCCAUAGUCGUGACACAGAAUAGAGCCCAGUGGACAUCACGGCCUGCUGAGAAUCGCUUGCAGACUAGGACUAAAGACUCAGCGUCCAACCGGUAGUCAGCAGAUGCAGAUGUCUGAAAGGAGCACAGACAUAGGAAGCGGGGGACCCUGCGGAAACAAAUCAGAAGGAACGCGGAAGCCCCUGCUAACUGGACGGGCAGUCCCAGCGGCUGGACAGGCCGAAGACGCCGGCUCACAAUGCUUUCCAUUCUCUUCUCUUUUUUAUUAUUCUCACCCCAUCAACUUCUCUAGGUUUCUGUUUUAUUUCAUUCAUUUAUUUAUUUUUUUAAGAUUCUACAUAUAAGUGAAAUCAUACUGAUUUUGUCUUUCUUUGACUUAUUUCACUUAGCAUAAUAGCUUCUAGGUCUAUCCACAUUGGCACAAAUGGCAUGAUUUCAUUCUAUUUUAUUGCCGAGUAAUAUUAGAUAUAUAUGUGUGUGCGUAUAUACACACCACGUCUUCUUUAUUCAUUCAUCUAUUA